AGGGCAAGUCUGGUGCCAGCAGCCGCGGUAAUUCUAGCUCUCAAAAUGCAUAGAAUUAUUGCUGCGGUUAAAAAGCUCGUAGUUGGAUCUGUGCUAGUCGUCCGGUGCACACUUUGUGUGUUACUGGUUCGGUUGGCUUUUCUGCUGGUCUCUCCCCGGCGUUGGCCUUCACCGGUCGGCGUCGGUGGGCUAGCGAGUUUACUUUGAACAAAUCAGAGUGCUUCAAACAGGCGUUUCGCUUGAAUGUUCGUGCAUGGAAUAAUAGAAGAGGAUUUCGGUCCGAUUUUAUUGGUUUUGCUGACCGAGAUAAUGGUUAACAGAGACAAACGGGGCCAUUCGUAUUGCUACGUGAGAGGUGAAAUUCUUGGACCGUAGCAAGACGGACUACAGCGAAAGCAUUUGGCAAGAAUGUCUUCAUUAAUCAAGAACGAAAGUCAGAGGUUCGAAGGCGAUCAGAUACCGUCCUAGUUCUGACCGUAAACGAUGCCAACUAGCGAUCCGCCGGCGGAUUCAUUCGCCCUGGUGGGGAGCUUCCCGGAAACGAAAGUCUUCCGGUUCCGGGGGAAGUAUGGUUGCAAAGCUGAAA
rnacentral:rRNA from 1 species